rnacentral:rRNA from 1 species
AACGAACGCUGGCGGCAUGCUUUACACAUGCAAGUCGAACGGUAACAGGCCGCAAGGUGCUAACGAGUGGCGAACGGGUGAGUAAUGCAUCGGAACGUGCCCAGUCGUGGGGGAUAACGCAGCGAAAGCUGCGCUAAUACCGCAUACGAUCUAUGGAUGAAAGCGGGGGACCGAAAGGCCUCGCGCGAUUGGAGCGGGCGAUGUCAGAUUAGGUAGUUGGUGGGGUAAAGGCUCACCAAGCCAACGAUCUGUAGCUGGUCUGAGAGGACGACCAGCCACACUGGGACUGAGACACGGCCCAGACUCCUACGGGAGGCAGCAGUGGGGAAUUUUGGACAAUGGGCGCAAGCCUGAUCCAGCAAUGCCGCGUGCAGGAAGAAGGCCUUCGGGUUGUAAACUGCUUUUGUACGGAACGAAACGGCUCUGGUUAAUACCUGGGGCUAAUGACGGUACCGCAAGAAUAAGCACCGGCUAACUACGUGCCAGCCGCCGCCGUAAGAC